UGUGCCCUUGAGGCGUGGCUUCCGGAGCUAACGCGUUAAGUCGACCGCCUGGGGAGUACGGCCGCAAGGUUAAAACUCAAAUGAAUUGACGGGGGCCCGCACAAGCGGUGGAGCAUGUGGUUUAAUUCGAUGCAACGCGAAGAACCUUACCUGGUCUUGACAUCCACGGAAGUUUUCAGAGAUGAGAAUGUGCCUUCGGGAACCGUGAGACAGGUGCUGCAUGGCUGUCGUCAGCUCGUGUUGUGAAAUGUUGGGUUAAGUCCCGCAACGAGCGCAACCCUUAUCCUUUGUUGCCAGCGGUCCGGCCGGGAACUCAAAGGAGACUGCCAGUGAUAAACUGGAGGAAGGUGGGGAUGACGUCAAGUCAUCAUGGCCCUUACGACCAGGGCUACACACGUGCUACAAUGGCGCAUACAAAGAGAAGCGACCUCGCGAGAGCAAGCGGACCUCAUAAAGUGCGUCGUAGUCCGGAUUGGAGUCUGCAACUCGACUCCAUGAAGUCGGAAUCGCUAGUAAUCGUGGAUCAGAAUGCCACGGUGAAUACGUUCCCGGGCCUUGUACACACCGCCCGUCACACCAUGGGAGUGGGUUGCAAAAGAAGUAGGUAGCUUAACCUUCGGGAGGGCGCUUACCACUUUGUGAUUCAUGACUGGGGUGAAGUCGUAACAAGGUAACCGUAGGGGAACCUGCGGUUGGAUCAC
rnacentral:rRNA from 1 species